CCUACGGGAGGCAGCAGUGGGGAAUAUUGCGCAAUGGGCGAAAGCCUGACGCAGCGACGCCGCGUGAGGGAUGAAGGUCUUCGGAUCGUAAACCUCUGUCAGCAGGGAAGAACGGUCACUGUGCUAAUCAGCAGUGAAUUGACGGUACCGGCAAAGGAAGCACCGGCUAACUCCGUGCCAGCAGCCGCGGUAAUACGGAGGGUGCGAGCGUUAAUCGGAAUUACUGGGCGUAAAGCGCGCGUAGGCGGUAUGUCAAGCCAAGGGUGAAAUCCCCGCGCUCAACGUGGGAACUGCCUUUGAAACUUGCACCCUGGAGUGUGUGAGAGGUUAGUGGCUUUCCAGGGGUAGGAGUGACGUCCGUCGAUAUCUGGAGGACCAUCAGUGGUGACGGCGGCUCUCUGGCCCAUACCUGACGCUGAGGCGCG
rnacentral:rRNA from 1 species